ACAUGCAAGUCGAGCGGUAACACUUCGGGUGACGAGCGGCGGACGGCUGAGUAACACGUAGGAACGUACCCCAGAGUGAGGGAUAAGCACCGGAAACGGUGUCUAAUACUGCAUAACCUCUUCGGAGAAAAGCUUCGGCGCUUUGGGAACGGCCUGCGCAUGAUUAGCUUGUUGGUGAGGUAAAAGCUCACCAAGGCGACGAUCAUUAGCUGGUCUGAGAGGAUGAUCAGCCAGACUGGGACUGAGAACGGCCCANACUCCUACGGGAGGCAGCAGUAGGGAAUUUUCCACAAUGGACGAAAGUCUGAUGGAGCAACGCCGCGUGAAGGAUGAAGGGUUUCGGCUCGUAAACUUCUUUUAUCUGUGACGAAUAUGACGGUAGCAGAUGAAUAAGGAUCGGCUAACUCCGUGCCAGCAGCCGCGGUCAUACGGAGGAUCCAAGCGUUAUCCGGAAUUACUGGGCGUAAAGAGUUGCGUA
rnacentral:rRNA from 1 species